rnacentral:rRNA from 1 species
CGCAAGCCUGACGGAGCAAGACCGCGUGGGGGAGGAAGGCUCUUGGGUUGUAAACCCCUCUUCUCAAGGAAGAACACAAUGACGGUACUUGAGGAAUAAGCCUCGGCUAACUCCGUGCCAGCAGCCGCGGUAAUACGGAGGAGGCAAGCGUUAUCCGGAAUGAUUGGGCGUAAAGCGUCCGUAGGUGGCUGUUCAAGUCUGCUGUCAAAGACAGUGGCUUAACUACUGAAAGGCAGUGGAAACUGAACAGCUAGAGUACGGUAGGGGCAGAGGGAAUUCCCGGUGUAGCGGUGAAAUGCGUAGAUAUCGGGAAGAACACCGG